AUGAUGAGAGAGGAGAAUCGGAGAAGUAAAAAAUUCUCUAUAAAUUUGAUCGCUAAUAUUUCUGUCUUAGUAUCUUUUUUCUUACUGUAUUUGGUUACCGUCUCUCCUCCUCUUUCUCACUGGGCUAUAAUUUUCUUUCCUCUUUACUGUCCUCCUCUCUCCCUUUGUAAUCUUCUUAUUUUAUAG